UACGGAGGAUCCAAGCGUUAUCCGGAUUUAUUGGGUUUAAAGGGUGCGUAGGCGGUAGCUUAAGUCAGUGGUGAAAGUUUGCAGCUCAACUGUAAAAUUGCCAUUGAAACUGGGUUACUUGAGUAUGGUAGAGGUAAGCGGAAUGCGUUGUGUAGCGGUGAAAUGCUUAGAUAUAACGCAGAACCCCAAUUGCGAAGGCAGCUUGCUGGACCAAAACUGACGCUGAGGCACGAAAGCGUGGGGAUCAAACAGG
rnacentral:rRNA from 1 species